rnacentral:misc_RNA from 1 species
GAUGAAGAACGCAGCGAAAUGCGAUAAGUAAUUUGAAUUGCAGAAUUCAGUGAAUCAUCGAAUCUUUGAACGCACAUUGCGCCCAUUAGUAUUCUAGUGGGCAUGCCUGUUCGAGCGUCAUUAAGUCCACUUAAGCCCUGCUUAGUGUUGGGAGACUGCUCCAGCGGUGCUACCCUGUAGCUACCCUGCAGCUCCUCAAAGACAGCGGCGGAGUUGUGGUAUCCUCUGAGCUUAGUAACUUGUUCUAGCUUUCGAGUACACCACUUCCCCUGCCGUAAAACCCUUAAUUUUUAAUGGUUGACCUCGGAUCAGGUAGGAAUACCCGCUGAACUUAAGCAUAUCAAUAAGCGGAGGA